rnacentral:rRNA from 1 species
ACGGAAGGCAGCAGUGGGGAAUAUUGCACAAUGGGGGAAACCCUGAUGCAGCGACGCCGCGUGGGUGAUGAAGUAUUUCGGUAUGUAAAGCCCUAUCAGCAGGGAAGAUAAUGACGGUACCUGACUAAGAAGCUCCGGCUAAAUACGUGCCAGCAGCCGCGGUAAUACGUAUGGAGCAAGCGUUAUCCGGAUUUACUGGGUGUAAAGGGAGCGCAGGCGGUUUUGUAAGUUGGGUGUGAAAGCCCGGGGCUCAACCCCGGGACUGCACCCAAAACUGCAGGACUAGAGUAUCGGAGGGGCAAGCGGAAUUCCUAGUGUAGCGGUGAAAUGCGUAGAUAUUAGGAGGAACACCGGUGGCGAAGGCGGCUUGCUGGACGAUAACUGACGCUGAGGCUCGAAAGCGUGGGGAGCAAACAGGAUUAGAUACCCUGGUA